rnacentral:rRNA from 1 species
GACGAACGCUGGCGGCGUGCCUAAUACAUGCAAGUUGAGCGAUGAAGAUUGGUGCUUGCCCCAAUUUGAAGAGCAGCGAACGGGUGAGUAACGCGUGGGGAAUCUGCCUUUGAGCGGGGGACAACAUUUGGAAACGAAUGCUAAUACCGCAUAACAACUUUAAACAUAAGUUUUAAGUUUGAAAGAUGCAAUUGCAUCACUCAAAGAUGAUCCCGCGUUGUAUUAGCUAGUUGGUGAGGUAAAGGCUCACCAAGGCGAUGAUACAUAGCCGACCUGAGAGGGUGAUCGGCCACAUUGGGACUGAGACACGGCCCAAACUCCUACGGGAGGCAGCAGUAGGGAAUCUUCGGCAAUGGGCGAAAGUCUGACCGAGCAACGCCGCGUGAGUGAAGAAGGUUUUCGGAUCGUAAAACUCUGUUGGUAGAGAAGAACGUUGGUGAGAGUGGAAAGCUCAUCAAGUGACGGUAACUACCCAGAAAGGGACGGCUAACUACGUG